rnacentral:rRNA from 1 species
UACAGAGGUCUCAAGCGUUGUUCGGAUUCAUUGGGCGUAAAGGGUGUGUAGGUGGCGCGCUAAGUCAGGUGUGAAAUCUCGGGGCUCAACCCCCGAAACUGCACUUGAUACUGCGGUGCUCGAGUACUGGAGAGGAGAUUGGAAUUUACGGUGUAGCAGUGAAAUGCGUAGAUAUCGUAAGGAAGACCAGUGGCGAAGGCGAAUCUCUGGACAGUUACUGACACUGAGGCACGAAGGCCAGGGGAGGCAAAACGGG